rnacentral:sRNA from 1 species
GCGUCCCACGGAAGGUUCAGGUCCGCCGCAUCUCCUGACACCGUGGGGUUGACCGGUGCCCCGGCAGGCAGGAGUGGCCUCCUUGAAAUGCCUGCGGGAGCACCGGUCGCAUU